CCUACGGGAGGCAGCAGUGGGGAAUAUUCCGCAAUGGGCGAAAGCCUGACGCAGCAACGCCGCGUGAGGGAUGAAGGUCUUCGGAUCGUAAACCUCUGUCAGCAGGGAAGAACGGUCACUGUGCUAAUCAGCAGUGAAUUGACGGUACCUGCCAAGGAAGCACCGGCUAACUACGUGCCAGCAGCCGCGGUAAUACGGAGGGGGCGAGCGUUAAUCGGAAUUAGUGGGCGUAAAGGGCGCGUAGGCGGGAACUUAAGUUAGAUGUGAGAACUUCGGGCUUAACCGGGGGACUGCAUUUAAAACUGGGGUUCUUGAGGGCAGGAGAGGAAAGUGGAACUCCAAGUGUAGCGGUGAAAUGCGUAGAUAUUAGGAGGAACACCAGUGGCGAAGGCGACUUUCUGGACUGUACCUGACGCUGAGGUGCGAAAGCAUGGGGAGCGAACAGGAUUAGAUACCCGUGUAGUC
rnacentral:rRNA from 1 species